rnacentral:rRNA from 1 species
AGUGUAGGUGGAUAUUUAAGUGGGAUGUGAAAUACUCGGGCCUAACCUGAGUGCUGCAUUCCAAACUGGAUAUCUAGAGUGCAGGAGAGGAAAGUAGAAUUCCUAGUGUAGCGGUGAAAUGCGUAGAGAUUAGGAAGAAUACCGGUGGCGAAGGCGACUUUCUGGACUGUAACUGACACUGAGGCUCGAAAGCGUGGGAGCAAACA